rnacentral:rRNA from 1 species
GACGAACGCUGGCGGCGUGCUUAACACAUGCAAGUCGAACGGAAAGGCCCUGCUUUUGUGGGGUGCUCGAGUGGCGAACGGGUGAGUAACACGUGAGUAACUUGCCCUUGACUUUGGGAUAACUUCAGGAAACUGGGGCUAAUACCGGAUAGGGGCUCCUGCUGCAUGGUGGGGGUUGGAAAGUUUCGGCGGUUGGGGAUGGACUCGCGGCUUAUCAGCUUGUUGGUGGGGUAGUGGCUUACCAAGGCUUUGACGGGUAGCCGGCCUGAGAGGGUGACCGGCCACAUUGGGACUGAGAUACGGCCCAGACUCCUACGGGAGGCAGCAGUGGGGAAUAUUGCACAAUGGGCGGAAGCCUGAUGCAGCAACGCCGCGUGCGGGAUGACGGCCUUCGGGUUGUAAACCGCUUUCGCCUGUGACGAAGCGUGAGUGACGGUAAUGGGUAAAGAAGCACCGGCUAACUACGUG